rnacentral:lncRNA from 1 species
AGUGAUUACUUGGAAAGCUAAAUUAAAGUCGUUGACCCUAAAAUUAGGCACUAAUCAACUCUGAACAUGUUGUUAUUUAUGCAAAAAAAAAAAAACACAUACAACAAGAUCAAGUUUAUAUCAAACUUCAAUAGGAACAGUCAAGCUAACCGCGAUAAUAACAUAUGCAUUUCUACUCACAUUUACGUUGUGAUUAUAGCCACUAAAGACAAUCUUGGAUUAGCAGCACUAUUCAAUGGAGAAUGAAAAAUAUUACAGGGAAAAUUUUGAUUGAAGUAUGUGGGGUCACUUUACCUGCAUGGCAUGUAGGACAGUAUUAGGCCCACAUGUUCCC